rnacentral:rRNA from 1 species
CGGCGAGUGAAGCGGCAACAGCUCAAAUUUGAAAUCUGGCCCCAGGCCCGAGUUGUAAUUUGCAGAGGAUGCUUUUGGCGCGGUGCCUUCCGAGUUCCCUGGAACGGGACGCCAUAGAGGGUGAGAGCCCCGUACGGUUGGACACCAAGCCUUUGUAAAGCUCCUUCGACGAGUCGAGUAGUUUGGGAAUGCUGCUCUAAAUGGGAGGUACAUUUCUUCUAAAGCUAAAUAUUGGCCAGAGACCGAUAGCGCACAAGUAGAGUGAUCGAAAGAUGAAAAGCACUUUGAAAAGAGGGUUAAACAGCACGUGAAAUUGUUAAAAGGGAAGCGCUUGUGACCAGACUUGCGUCCGGUGAAUCACCCAGCUCUCGCGGCUGGGGCACUUCGCCGGCACAGGCCAGCAUCAGCUUGCCGUCGGGGACAAAAGCUUCAGGAACGUAGCUCCUCUCGGGGAGUGUUAUAGCCUGUUGUAUAAUACCCUUCGGCGGGCUGAGGUACGCGCUCCGCAAGGAUGCUGGCGUAAUGGUCAUCAGCGACCCGUCUUGAAACACGGACCAAGGAGUCAACCUUAUGUGCGAU